AUUGAACGCUGGCGGCAUGCCUUACACAUGCGAGUCGAACGGCAGCACGGGUGCUUGCCCCUGGUGGCGAGUGGCGAACGGGUGAGUAAUACAUCGGAACAUGUCCUGUAGUGGGGGAUAGCCCGGCGAAAGCCGGAUUAAUACCGCAUACGAUCUACGGAUGAAAGCGGGGGACCUUCGGGCCUCGCGCUAUAGGGUUGGCCGAUGGCUGAUUAGCUAGUUGGUGGGGUAAAGGCCUACCAAGGCGACGAUCAGUAGCUGGUCUGAGAGGACGACCAGCCACACUGGGACUGAGACACGGCCCAGACUCCUACGGGAGGCAGCAGUGGGGAAUUUUGGACAAUGGGCGAAAGCCUGAUCCAGCAAUGCCGCGUGUGUGAAGAAGGCCUUCGGGUUGUAAAGCACUUUUGUCCGGAAAGAAAUCCUUGGCUCUAAUACAGUCGGGGGAUGACGGUACCGGAAGAAUAAGCACCGGCUAACUACGUG
rnacentral:rRNA from 1 species